rnacentral:rRNA from 1 species
CUACGGGUCGCACCAGUGGGGAAUAUUGCACAAUGGGCGCAAGCCUGAUGCAGCCAUGCCGCGUGUAUGAAGAAGGCCUUCGGGUUGUAAAGUACUUUCAGCGGGGAGGAAGGGAGUAAAGUUAAUACCUUUGCUCAUUGACGUUACCCGCAGAAGAAGCACCGGCAAACUCCGUGACAGCAGCCGCGGUAAUACGGAGGGUGCAAGCGUUAAUCGGAAUUACUGGGCGUAAAGCGCACGCAGGCGGUUUGUUAAGUCAGAUGUGAAAUCCCCGGGCUCAACCUGGGAACUGCAUCUGAUACUGGCAAGCUUGAGUCUCGUAGAGGGGGGUAGAAUUCCAGGUGUAGCAGUGAAAUGCGUAGAGAUCUGGAGGAAUACCGGUGGCGAAGGCGGCCCCCUGGACGAAGACUGACGCUCAGGUGCGAAAGCGUGGGGAGCAAACAGGAUUAGAUACCCUUGUAGUC